CCAAGGGAAUCAGGUAAUUUCUGAUCAAAAUUGUGAGGAAGAUAAGGAACUUAUGUUUGGGAGACAGCUAUGACUCUCACUGCUAACCUCAGGGUGAGUCCACUUAGGGUCAGGGACCUGAGUAGUGGAUCAGAAUACCAGAACAGAGCAGCCAGCCCCAAAUCACAGCUGGCUAGCCACUUUAGCAUCCCACAGGCAGGAUGAAGACCCCUAAAAAUAGCUGACACAGCCUUCUGCUCACCUCUCCUGAAGGGGAGCCUCACAGAGAAUACAGAAAUCUCACUUGCUGCACCCACCCACACUUCCCAGCCCUGGUGCUGCUUGCCUGGUGUCUUCAUUUUCUAGGCCCCCUCCUUUCCUCACAGAUGAAUUGGGGAUUUGGGGGGCUUCUGCGGAAAGGGAGAAUGGUCAGGAGACUCCUGUGAGCAGAGCCUGUUAAACCCUGCAGAUCCUCUGGCCACUCUUCGUCUCUGAUGCAUUCUUCUGUCCCCAAACCUAAAAGGUCUCCAGCGCAAGGGUGCACACUAUGCCAGCAUGUAGUUCCGUGGGUAGAGCCUAGAGCCUUGCACAUAAGAGGCAAGCACACUGCCAACUGAGACAUCUCCAGCCCCAGCAUGAAGUUUCCGGAACAGCCAGUGUCCGCUCUUAAGUGGCCACCUAGACUCUGGGCCAAACUGUUUCAGCCCUCUGAGUCCCUCCCGCAUGUCCUCUGUGUGACUUUGUUAAGGACUCCUCACCAUGGAUGGGGAUGAAGACAGGAUGCUAAGGACAUGUUUGCUGGAAUAAAAACUGCAACACCGCUUCUUAUCACAGGCAGAGCAAGG
rnacentral:lncRNA from 1 species